CAUUCCGUUUGAAUAGGUGCUUGCAGUAUGGGCUGUAACAUGCUGACAAGCAGACUGAGGUGAUUCUUGUGUGCUAGUCUGUUGGUAACAAUGGUGGAGUGAAUAUCCUAGGACCUUUAUCCUAUGAAAUCUGCAGAGAAGGAAAACAUUGCGACCUGGAAAGGCACUGAAUUCAUACCGACAGUACAAGUCAAGGUCUUAAAAAGAAUGUCACAUGGUUUUGAAAUAUUAGGAACUGGGAUUUAACAUAUUACCUGUGUCUAAAAGGUGAGGGAGGAACAUGCUUAUUUAACACAAUGCAAUAAAGUGAGUGAAGAGACACAUUUUGGAAUUUGAUUUGUCAGCAAUUGGAGGUGAUUCCAUUGGAAUUGUAGUCCCAAAGGGCAGGGGUGGAGGCAGGUGGCCUUUUCCUGCUGAUGGUGCUGUCCCCUGAGAGCCAUAGGGUGGGUCCAUAAGGAGAACACUGGUGUGGUCUGUCAUUUUCCCAUCAGGGCUAACUCCAGCUCUCAAACCACUGUUAGGAAACUGAUUAUGCGCUUAGAGCUGGGAUGGUAAACAUCCCCUCCAGAGCAGUUCUAAUCAGGUGGGAGUUGUGUUGUAAGAGGUUCUGAACGUGGUGAGCAGUGAAUAAUGUUGGUCUUGGGUGUUCAGAGUGUGGAUUGUAGGUGGUGGUAUUUUGGUUUCUGGCUUAGUGGCAAAACAAAAUAACAGCGCACUGCCGCAGAACAGAGCAGGAAUUCCUAGGUUUCCAAGUAUUAUGUUCCAUUUUGGAGAAUUCAGUUCCAGGAACUUCAAGCAGGAACAUUUUAAGGGGAAACAAAUGAGACAUAAGGGGAUGGGAACAAGAGUAAAUUACUUGCUCAAUACGAAUGCACUUACACUGAAAGGAUGUCAGUGCCCCCCAGUGGGCGGGCAUUUAAAAUUAGUUGGUACCAGGAAAACCCCAAACCAUCAGAUCCAUUAUUUAGGGCAAGAAGGAAAUUUAGCACAAAGAAUCCCUGAAGUGGACGUCUAGUACUAAAAAUAUCCGUAAUUCUUGAAGACGGGUGUGUUGAUACUAAACUUUUAAAAUAUCUGAACUUCAGGUAUGCCAUACAGGAUCAUCUUACAGCAGAGCUAGCGUCUUCACUUUUCCAAGUAGGAGCUCUCCACAGCCUCCAAAUAGAUCUAAACUUUAAAGCCUGUUAUAAUUUCAAAGUGGAUGCAGGCUUCUUAGUUUCUCUGCUAAGCUAUUUAUUUAUUUAUAACUCUUCAACCAGGUUUAUUUUAAAAAAAUAUUUUCCCCUCCUUAAACUCCACAUUCUUAGUUUUUCAGGAAGAGAGAGAAAUGGCAUCAAUGCAACAUCCUCUGGCUACUUCUGAUUGUACAGGACUAAAACCAUUCUCAGGAGUCCUGCCCACCAGCCAGUGAGUUCCAAGAAUUCUUCAGGUGUGGUCCAGCUCAAGGACAUCUGGCCCACCCUGACAGAGGGGCUUGCUUGCAAGGUCUGACAAAGCACAAAACAUUGAGCAAGUGGUCUGGGUCUCCCAGGCCUUGUAAAGAGCUUCGUUAGUGCCAUUCAGGUAACUGAACCAAGCACAUCCUCCCUGACACGCUCUGUUGUCCACUAGCCUCUACCUCCACAGACCUGUAAGUGUGCAAAGGUUCAACACGAGGCAGAUGGAGCCGAGUGUGGCUGGGCAGCCUUUGAAAGCACACCUUUUACCAGCUUUGAGAAAAGAGAAAUGGUGGGGAGUGGGGUUCCCUGAAGACAAUAAGAUGUUCUUUCCCUAGCUCAACUCCUAGCACCUGCCUCAGGCAGUGUUUUCCUGUGAGAGGGCACCAAGGAAGCUAACACUGCUAUCAACCCCUGCCCCUCUGGAAGGUGAGGAAAGCUUCCUAGAGCUUUUCCUGUGUAGCUGCAAAAUGCUAGUGGGGUAAGGACAGCUUAACCUAUACAUUUCUGUUCUAGAGCUAUCAAUAAAUAGACUGUGAGCUUUAGUUUGUAAGAAACAAGUAUGCAUGGCAAGAGGGCUCACCUUCUGCCAUAGGCCUUUUCCCAGCCGAGGUUCAGGUUCUGUGGAAGCUGGAGCCUGCAGUACCUGGUGCCACACCCCUAAUGCACCCUUUGCCCUACGCAGUCAGCACUCCUUCAGCCUUGUUUUUAACCAAAUACCUCAACAUUUGUUAAGCAGUUUUAAGAGGAAUUGUUAUUCAGAAGACAUGAUCUAGAAAUAGAUGGAAAUCAGAAACAAAUGCCCAUCUGCAACCCAAAUUAAAACUCAUUAUCUUGCAGUCAGUCAAAAACAGAUGCUACAUGAGUGUGGACAUUCAUCCCAAGGGGGUUAAACUUUCAACCAACAAUGAAGCU